AACGUAGGAGACGAGCGUUAUCCGGAUUUACUGGGCGUAAAGAGCGUGUAGGAGGCAAUACAAGUUGGAUGUAAAAGCUCUCGGCUAAACUGAGAGAGGACGUUCAAGACUGUAGAGCUAGAGGAAGGCAGAGGUAGAUGGAACUCCGGGAGUAGUGGUGAAAUGCGUAGAUAUCCGGAAGAACACCAGAGGCGAAAGCGAUCUACUGGGCCUUAACAGACACUGAGACGCGAAAGCCAGGGUAGCAAACGGGAUUAGAGACC
rnacentral:rRNA from 1 species